AUUGAACGCUGGCGGCAGGCCUAACACAUGCAAGUCGAGCGGAUGAAGGGAGCUUGCUCCUGGAUUCAGCGGCGGACGGGUGAGUAAUGCCGAGGAAUCUGCCUGGUAGUGGGGGAUAACGUCCGGAAACGGGCGCUAAUACCGCAUACGUCCUGAGGGAGAAAGUGGGGGAUUUUCGGACCUCACGCUAUCAGAUGAGCCUAGGUCGGAUUAGCUAGUUGGUGGGGUAAAGGCCUACCAAGGCGACGAUCCGUAACUGGUCUGAGAGGAUGAUCGGUCACACUGGAACUGAGACACGGUCCAGACUCCUACGGGAGGCAGCAGUGGGGAAUAUUGGACAAUGGGCGAAAGCCUGAUCCAGCCAUGCCGCGUGUGUGAAGAAGGUCUUCGGAUUGUAAAGCACUUUAAGUUGGGAGGAAGGGCAGUAAGUUAAUACCUUGCUGUUUUGACGUUACCAACAGAAUAAGCACCGGCUAACUUCGUG
rnacentral:rRNA from 1 species